rnacentral:rRNA from 1 species
UCUGGUGGCCUUUGUGUGUCCGAAUUGGAAUUUAGAAAAGGGGUUUCCGGGGUGGACUGGGGCCUAGUUCCCUGGAUAUGGAGCAUCAUAGAGGGUGAGAAUCCCGUCUUUGACACGGGCCCCCGGUGUUUUGUGAUGCGCUCUCGAAGAGUCGAGUUGUUUGGGAUUGCAGCUCAAAAUGGGAGGUAAACUCCUUCUAAAGCUAAAUAUUGGCGAGAGACCGAUAGCGAACAAGUACCGUGAGGGAAAGAUGAAAAGCACUUUGGAAAGAGAGUGAAACAGUACGUGAAAUUGUUGAAAGGGAAACGCUUGAAGUCAGUCGCGUCUGCUUGGACUCAGCCUUGCCUCGGCUUGGUGCACUUCCCGGCUGACGGGCCAGCAUCAAUGUCGACUCUCGGAUAAUGGGGGAGGAAAUGUGGCUCCUUCGCGGGUGUUAUAUCUUCUGCUCUCAURCGUGGAACAUGAUGUCGAGGAACUCCAUGU